GUGAUUGCAGUGCACCUGCAGUGCCACCUCAGCUGAAUGCAGUGUUGCUGCCGUGGUUGCAGAGCCCACUGCCGUUUCUGUAAAUGUGGAUGCAGGGCCCAUGCAGCCUCUGCAGUGUGACCCAAGUUGGAUGCAGUAUGUUGUGAAGUAGGAUGCAGUACCCAUGAAGGAGGAUGCAGUGAUCCUGCAUUCAUUCCAGUGCACCUGCAGUGUCAAUUCAUCUGGAGGCAGUGUCGCUGAAUGUGGAUUCACUGCUCAUUCAGUGAUGAUGUAUGUUGUCAUGGAGGAUGCAGUGCCCAUGAAGGCAGAUGCAGUGAUCCUGCAGUGAUUGCAGUGCAUCUGCUGUGCCACUUCUUGUGGAUCCAGUGUCCCUGCAGUGGUUGCAGUGCCUGCUGCAGUUUCCCAAAACGUGGAUGCAGUGCACAUGCAAUGGCUGCAGUUUCACAGAAGUUAGAUGCAGUAUGUUGUAUUGGAGGAAGCAGUGCCCAUGAAGGUGCAUGCAGUGAUCCUGCAGUGGUUGCAGUGUCCCCUGCAGCAUCCCUGAAUGAGAAUUCCGUGCCCUUGCAGUGGAUUCAGUGCCCCACAAGUUGUAUGCAGUAUGUUAUGACGGAUGAUGCAUUGCCCAUGAUGGAGGGUGCAGAGAUUCUGCAGUGAUUGCAGUGCACCUGCAGUGCCACUUCAUCUGGCUGCAGUGUGCCUGCAGUGGUUGCAAUGCCGCCUUCUGUCUCUCCAAAUACGAAUGCAGUGCCCUUGCAGUGGAUGCAGUGUACCAAAAGAUGGAUGUGGUAUGUUGUGACUGAGGAUGCAGUGCCCAUGAAUGUGGAUGAAGUGAUCCUGCAGUGGCUGCAGUGCACAUGCAGUGCCACUUAAGCUGGAUGCAGUGUCCCUGCAGUCGCUGCAGUGCAACCUGCACUCUCCAUGUAUGUGCAUUCAGUGCUCAUGCAGUGAGGAAGUAUGUUGUGAUGAAGGAUGCAGUGCCCGUGAAGGCAGAUGCAGUGAUCCUGCAGAGAUUGCAGUGCACCUGCAGUGACACUUCAGCUGGAUCCAGAGUCCGUGCAGUGGUUGCAGUGCCUGUUGCCCUGUGCCUGAAUGUGGAGGCAGUACCCAUGAAAUGGCUGCAGUGUCACUGAAGGUAGAUGCAGUAUGUUGUGAUGGAGGAUGCAGUGCCCACGAAGGUGGACCCAGUUAUCCUGCAGUGGUUGAAGUGAACCCUGCAGGGUCCCUGAAUGAGAACGCCAUGCCCUUGCAGUGGAUUCAGUGCCCCACAAGGUGGAUGCAGUAUGUUAUGACGGAUGAUGCAUUGCCCAUGAAGGAGGAUGCAGUGUUUCUGCAGUGAUUGCAGUGCACCUGCAGUGCCACUUCAGCUGGCUGCAGUGUUCCUGUGGGGGUUGCUGUGCCCCCAUCUUUGUCUCUGAAUAUGAAUGCAGUGUCAAUUCAGUGGAUGCAGAAUACCAAAAGAUGGAUAUUGCAUGUUGAGACAGAGGAUGCAGUGCCCAUGAAUGUGGAUGCAGUGAUUCUGCAGGGGUUACAGUGCGCAUGCAGUGCCACUUCAGUUACAGUCGCUGCAGUGCAACCUGCACUGUCACUUAUUUUGAAUGCAGUGCUCAUGCAGUGAUCAAGAAUGUUGUGAUGGAGGAUGCAGUGCCAUGAAGGCAGAUGCAGUAAUCCUGCAGUGAUUGAAGUGCGCCAGCAGUGCCACUUCAGAUGGAUCCAGAGUCCCUGUAGUUGUUGCAGUGCCUGUUGCACUGUCCAUGAAUGUGGCAGCAGUGCCCAUGCAAUGGCUGCCGUGUCACUGAAGGUAGAUGCAGUAUGUUGUGACGGAGGUUGGAGUGCCCAUGGAAGUGGAUGCAGUGAUCCUGCAGUGGUGGUAGUGCCCCCUGCAGCAUCCCUGAAUGAGAAUGCCGUGCCCUUGCAUUGGAUUUACUGCCCAACAAGGUGGAUGCAGUAUGUUAUGAUGGAUAAUGCAUUGCCCAUGAAGGUGGAUGCAGUGUUCUUGCGUUGGCUGUCUUGCCAACUUCUGUGUCCCUGAUUGUGGAUGCAGUGACCAUGCAGUGGAUGCAGUGUCCCACAAGGCAGAUGCAGUAUGCUGUAAUGGAGGAUGCAGUGCCCAUGAACUUGGAUGUGGUGAUUCUGCAGUUGUUGCAGUGUCCCCUUCAGGGUCCCUGAAUGUGGGUGCAGUGCCCAUGCAGUGGAUGCAGUGUCGCAUAAGUGGAUGCAGUAUGUUGUGACGGAAGAUGCAGUGCCCACGACUGUGAAAGCAUUGAGAUUCAGUGAUUGCAGUGCACCUGCAGUGCCACUUCAACUGUAUACUGUGUCCCUGCAGUGGUUGCAGUGCUGCCUGCAUUGUCCAGACAUGCUGAUGCAGUGCCCAAGCAGUGGAUGCAGUGUCACACAAGUUCAAUGAAGUAUGUUGUUACAGAGGAUGCAGUGCCCCUGAAGGUGGAUGCAGUGAUCCUGCAGUGGUUGCAGUGCCCCCUUCAGGAUCCAUGAAUGUGGAUGCAGGGCCCAUACAAUGGCUGCAGUGUCACUGAAGGUAGAUUUCGUAUGUUAUGCUGGAUGAUGCAUUCCCCAUGAAGGUGGAUGAGGUGAUCCUGCAGUUGUUGCAGUGCCCCCUUCAGGUUCACUGAAUGUGGAUGCAGUGCCCAUAAAGUGGAUGCAGUGUCGCACAAGCUGGAUGCAAUAUGUUGUGAUGGAGGAUGCAGGGCUCAUGAUUGUGAAUGCAGAGAGACUGCAGUGAUGGCAGUGCGCCUGAAGUGCCACUUCAACUGUAUACAGUGUCCCUGCAGUGGUUGCAGUGCUGCCUGCAUUAUCCGGGAAUGCAGAUGCAGUG
ensembl:lncRNA